rnacentral:rRNA from 1 species
UACGUAGGGUGCAAGCGUUGUCCGGAUUUAUUGGGCGUAAAGAGCUCGUAGGCGGUUUGGCAAGUCGGGUGUGAAACCUCCAGGCUCAACCUGGAGACGCCACUCGAUACUGCUAUGACUUGAGUCUGGUAGGGGAUCACGGAAUUCCUGGUGUAGCGGUGAAAUGCAUAGAUAUCGGGAGGAACACCAGUGGCGAAGGCGACUUCCUGGCCUGUUCUUGACGCUGAGGCGCGAAAGCUAGGGGAGCAAACGGG